rnacentral:lncRNA from 1 species
AGGCCUCCUCCCGACCCUGCGCCGUGCCCAGCCCCUCUGCCCUCCUGUUACCCCGGGACCUCGGGCCGCCAGCCCCUUCCACGUGCAGGCUCCUGCUGCUCUCGCGGGGGCUUUUCGUGUGUCCCCCGAGAUGUCGAGGAAGCCAGGAAACAAGGAGUGGACGUUCAGGCUGAUGGCCAGCUUCAAAGAUCGGGGCCUUUGAUUCCCAUCACUGGGAAGAAAGCCCUUCAGACAAGCCCCCCCAGGCUGCAGGUGCAUGGGGACCUUGAAGAACCCGUCCCCAUGGUCCCACGUCCAUGUGUCUCGAGACCUGUCGCAUCCUCGCUGAAACUCAAGAAUGUGAAACAGAGUCCAGCUCUCCCACGGGUGGCUGUGAUCCUUCUUCCUGGGGAGUCCUGCUGUCCCUGACUAGGGGCACCUGCCCACCUGUCAGCUGCUCCUCCCUCGGCUGGUCCUCCUGGGCUCUGAUGGCCCCAACAUUUCUAGCUCUUCUCACCCAUAGUGCCCCAAGCUUCAUGCAGCUGCGGCAGGAUGCUGUAACAAGCUGUCAUCUCGGGAGGAGACACCAGGCCCUGACCAGACGCUGAACAUGCCAGCACCUUCAUCUUGGACUUUCCAGCCCCCAGAACUGUGAGAAAUAAAUUUCUGUUCUUUAUAA